rnacentral:lncRNA from 1 species
GGAUGAUUACAUAAUUACCUUGAGAUAAUUAUUACCUUGGCUACAAGAACAAGCGUGGUUCUAUUCUGGGGUUGAACAGGCCGUUGCUAGGCAGAUGUCAUUGCAGAAGUAGUUGUGUUUUGUUUUGUUUUGUUUUGUUUUAGUUUUGAGAUGGAGUCUUGCUCCGUAGCCCGGGCUGGAGUGCAGUGGCGCCAUCUCGGUUUACUGCAAGCUCCGCCUCCCGAUUGACGUCAUUCUCCUGCCUCAGCCUUUUGAGUAACUAAGACUACAGGCGGCUGCCACCAGCGGCUAAUUUUUUUGCAUUUUUAGUAGAGACGGGGUUUCACCGUGUUAGCCAGGAUGGUCUCGAUAUCCUGAGCUCGUGAUACACCCACCUCGGCCUCCCAAAGUCCUGGGAUUACAGGCGUGAGCCCCCGCGCCCGGCCAGUAGUUGUUUUGUUUUUAGUGUAAGGUUGUGAUGGCGUUUGUGCAAGAUUGUGGUCUUUUGUGAUACUUUUUAUUAUCAGACAUUUUUGCAUGAUAAUCUUCUCUUUAUUACCUUUCCUAGCUCUAUUUGUCAUUUUUUAUUGCUGUUGUUCUUGUUGCUUUUUGUUGUUUGUGUACAUUUUUUUUUUUUUUUUUUCCCUGUAAGUGACUCCUGGAAGUUGAACCUGACGAAAAGGCACUGCUCUGGGAGUGGACCAUUUGGAUGAGAGAUUUAUAUGCAAUCAACAUGUAAGAAUAGAGCUUUGUAUUGGUAAGUUGUCAUUGAAUAACAAACCACUCUAUAAAUAAAACAAUUUAUUAUUUAUCACCAGCCUAUUGGUUAACUAGGCAGUUUUCCUUAUGUAGAACAGGCUCUGCUGAUCUUGACCGGGGUUCAUAUGCUCGAGAUUUAGCUUUCCUCCAUAAAUUCUUUCAUCCUCCUACAGGCUAGUCCAGACUUGGCCUCAGGUCUGAGGCAGAAAUCCAAUGAAAGCAGUAGCACACAGGUUUCUGAGACCUGGACCUUAAAAUAACACAAUUCACUUUUGCUGCAUUUCAUUAGUCAAAGUACAUACUAUGCUGCUCAGCUUAUAUUCAAGAGAUGAUGAAAAAAAGAAAAAAGAAACUCCACCUCUUGAAGUAAAGAACUUGUGAAUUCACAUUCUAUAGGAUAUAAGGAAAGGAAAUUAUUGACUGG